AUCUGUCACCUGAGCAGCUUAGACAUGGUGUUCCAGCUGGUUCUGCUGGGCAUGCUGGGCCAGAACCACUGCUGGCCGGCCGUCACUGUCCAGGGGGCUUCACGGCCCAGCUGUACGGGCUACUGGAAGCCUUCCUUCCACAUGACACAGAUGAAGCCCCGGGGCAGAUGUACCCGGAGGAACUGAAGCAGCAUGUAGCUGCAUCCCUUCAGCCCUGCUGCCACAGAGGAGGACCAGAGGAGGCUAGAGGGAGAUUAAACAGAACACACACCGUUUAACCACGUAUGUAAGGCAGCGCACGCCUCGCCUCACCUGGGCUCUCACUGCCCUCUACAGUCCUGGACUCCUCAGUGCUCCUGCCUCUAGGUCGCUCUCUCCUUGGUAGACAGCGCCCCCUACAGCUCACCCCUCACACUGCGAUGUCUGAGACCGCAGGGCAGCUUGGCUCCAACUGGUGGGGGCACCGUAGCCAUGACGAUGAGCCGUCCAAUGAGUUAUGGGAUAACAAAUUGGCUCUCGUUUAUCUAUGAUUCUAGGAAUCUUUGAAGGUCUGUCUGUCUGUGGGCAUGGCACUAGUGUAAUUCUAGAUGUAUCUAUCUAAUUCUAGGAGUAACCCUAACCUUAAGACAGUCAUUGCCUGUCCUGUUCAGUUGAAUAGCGAACCACAGUGUUAUGAUCAGGACUGCCGGCAUUCCUUACAAGUGAAGAUGUGUGUGAAAGUACUUCCUUUUACUUUCACUAUCACUCCUUCUGGAACUUCCUCAAACUUUCCAUGUUGCGUUCCCUGUCCUGUAAAUGUAAUGUAAAUGUAUUCGAGAGUGUUCGCUGGAUUUCGUCUUCCCGCCCAUUUAUCCCCA